CCCUUUUUUUACAAAAACAUGGUCUUUUGUUUAUAUAAAAGAUCUGGCCUGCCCUAUGAUUUAUUUAAAUGGCUGCAGUAUUUUGACUGUACAAAGGUAGCAUAAUCAUUUGUCUUUUAAUUGGAGGCUGGUAUGAAUGGUCGGAUGAGAAAUAUACUUUCUUUAUUUUAUAUAAAAAAUUUAAUUUUUUAGUCAGAAAGCUGGGAUGUUUUUAUAGGACGAGAAGACCCUAUAGAACUUUAUUUUUUUGAUUUUAUAGAUUUUCUGGUUUAUUAAAAAUUUAUAAUUUUAUAUUAAUUGUGUUGGGGUGAUAGGAAAAAUUAUAUAACUUUUUUUGUUUGUCACAUUUAUGUAUGUUUUUUUGAUCCUUUGAUUAAGGAAAAUAAGAUUAAGUUACCUUAGGGAUAACAGCGUUAUUUUUUUGGAGAGUUCUUAUCGAUAUAAAAGUUUGCGACCUCGAUGUUGGAUUAAAAUAAGUGGCAGGGGUAGAAUAUUGCUUCACUAGGUCUGUUCGACCUUUAAAUUUUUACAUGAUCUGAGUUUCAACCGGA
rnacentral:rRNA from 1 species